UACGAAGGGUGCAAGCGUUACUCGGAAUUACUGGGCGUAAAGGGCGCGUAGGUGGUUCGAUAAGUUGGCUGUGAAAUCCCUGGGCUUAACCUGGGGUGGUCAGCCAAUACUGUUGAACUAGAGUACGAGAGAGGGUAGUGGAAUUUCAGGUGUAGCGGUGAAAUGCGUAGAUAUCUGAAGGAACACCAGUGGCGAAGGCGACUACCUGGCUCGAUACUGACACUGAGGCGCGAAAGCGUGGGGAGCAAACAGG
rnacentral:rRNA from 1 species